UACAGAGGUCUCAAGCGUUGUUCGGAUUCAUUGGGCGUAAAGGGUGCGUAGGCGGCGCGGUAAGUCGGGUGUGAAAUCUCGGAGCUUAACUCCGAAACUGCAUUCGAUACUGCCUUGCUCGAGUACUGGAGAGGGAACUGGAAUUUACGGUGUAGCAGUGAAAUGCGUAGAGAUCGUAAGGAAGGCCAGUGGCGAAGGCGAGUUCCUGGACAGUUACUGACGCUGAGGCACGAAGGCCAGGGGAGCAAACGGG
rnacentral:rRNA from 1 species